UAUCCUUUCCUGUGACAGUUUUUUCUGAUAUUGUUAAAACACAAUAAAUAAUCUACCAUCAAUAAGAUAAGAAUAUUUUGGUGCAGAGCGAUUUCAAACUCCGUAUUGUUUUGAGCCAUAACAUUUUCAAAUAAUGCGGCGCCAUUAUUUGCUGAGCUACCAUUGGUUCAUUUGAGCGCUAACCCGGCAGAAUAAAUUCGGUUCACUAAAGAAUCUAAGUUGCUAGCAGAAUUUGUUUCAGUGUCUUGACACAAUAAAAACACUUGCAUGAUUUAAAAAGAGUAACUAUUGUGAUUUCAUUCUAUGUACAUGGGCUUUUAAUAAUCUUUCUCACAAUCAGUUAAACCAGCAUGCAUGGGUGGGUCUCAUGCAUGCUGGCUUGGCUGGGACCCACCUAUGCAAGGGUGCUUUUUUUAUUUUAAAUGAAACUGCAUUGAACGUUUUGUUGUGGGCUAGAUUAGUAGUGAUUGGGCAUGGAUUUUGUGUGGGUGACUGCAUGAGCCCCAUAUGUUUAACCUAAGAUGGGAGCCAUAUUGUUGACCCAUUUGGGCUAAUUGUAUGGGCCUUAUUCAGCAUUAAUGUGGGCUAACUGGGAAUGGGAUAGAUAUGGGGCCCCUGGCGACCUGUCCAGGGUGAACAGCCCGGAAAGUAGCCGGGGAUAGGCACCAGCAACCCUCCUGACCCCAUUAGGGACAAAGGGUGUAUAGAAAAUGGAUGGAUGGAUGGAUGGAUAUGGGGCCCACUUGGUUUCAGUAUAUUGGGCCUAAAAGCUUUUUUGUAAAUAAAAUAAAGGCAUAGCAGUUAAUAUUUUUAAAUCAUGUUUGUUUUAUCAUGUAAGUGACACUUUAAAGUGUUUUGUUUUCUCAUAAUUUGUUUCAGUCUGCAGCUGUUGUGUGUUGGUCUAUAGACUAGUCUUCAGUGGCCAAGCCUGAUUCAAUGAUUGAAAGAUGAAGAAUUUCUCUGAUAUUUUUGCAAUAUUUUGCUAGCACUUAUGUGAAAUAUACUUAUAUUUAAGUGUAGCUCUUGUUCUUUUAUGUGUACAAUAUUUUAGGAUUUAUUAGUAAUAUUUAUUAGUGAUUUUUCUAAACUACUCUUAAGAUUAAUACUACUGUCAGUCCUGUCACAGUACCAAAUAAAUGAGGAUAAUUGCAUUAGUGAAACUGUUCAGUGUUUACAAUAUAAGGCUUCAGUGAUUAAUCUAUACAAAGGCUGAUUUGCCUUAAAUAUAUAUAGGCUUUUUGAAAAGCCCAAAUGUUAUUUUAACUGGACUAAUAAAUAUUUUUCGCAGACUUCAAGAGCAUCAACCUGUGAAGAUCGCCUUUGACGAUUUGAAAAAGGUUGCCAUGGUUACAGAAAUUGGAGGAGUGUCCAGCUGUGCGAGUCCUCAUGCCCCAUGAAUUGGCGGUCCAGUUCAGCCUUUUUGGACGACAUUGGAAACACAAGCUCCGUGACCCGCGUCUCUUUGAAGUUGUGUAUGGGACACUUAAAAGAAAUGGAUCCAUCUACAGAAUCACACAAAGAUAUGGAAAAGGCACUCUCAAAGUGGUUUACUGGAGCCUGUGACUGGUGGAAAUAGGAAAGUUAGAACAACUAGGGAGGCUGUCAGUUCAAACUCAGGUGGGCAGAUCUUUCAAGAUGGACAGUUUCAAUAAUGUAUGAGAGCUUUCUAAGUUUAAGCAUGCAUGUGACAUGAAGGUUAUUCUUAAAAAUGUUUGACAAAACGGUAUUGUGAAAGAUCUAUAUAGCUCUGGGUAUGUAUAUACAUAUAUAUCUACAGUACAGACCAAAAGUUUGGACUCACAGUUGUGUCCAAACUUUUGGUCUGCACUGUAUGUUAUAUAGAUGGUAUUUAGAUUUAUACAUUAAUAUAGAUCUUUACAGAUAUAUGUAGGUGUCUUUAUAUGUGUGCAGCUAUAGAUAUAUGUUCAUUAAUCUAUAUUUAUAGAUCUGUUUAUAUGUUUGUUAUAGUAAACUAGUUUCUGUUUUCAAAAUGCCAUGUGAAUAAUUGUUUUUUUAUUUU